AGUGAGAUAUAUUAUGAUUUCUAUCACAAUAUCAUCGAAACUUUUUUCAACAGAUUGGAACAAUUCUAACUCUUCUCAUUCGAGUUCACUGAUCACCAAGUGAAUGCCUUUGAGUCUCACCAUCCACCAGUGACACCUAGCAGCAUGUAGUGGCCACCCAGCAGAAUGGAAGGAUGAAUCUCUAGGUACAGUUAGCAUAUGGUACAGUCCCUCUAUCGUGGAUUCUGAUAGGAUGGAGGUCAUGGAUAACUCGUCAAACUCCAUCAUCUGUCAUA
rnacentral:lncRNA from 1 species